rnacentral:rRNA from 1 species
UACGUAGGGUGCGAGCGUUAAUCGGACUUACUGGGCGUAAAGCGUGCGCAGGCGGUCCGCAAAGUCUGAUGUGAAAGCCCCGGGCUCAACCUGGGAACUGCAUUGGAAACUAACGGGCUCGAGUGUGGCAGAGGGGGGUGGAAUUCCACGUGUAGCAGUGAAAUGCGUAGAGAUGUGGAGGAACACCGAUGGCGAAGGCAGCCCCCUGGGCUAACACUGACGCUCAUGCACGAAAGCGUGGGGAGCAAACAGG